GGUCAAUGAUGUGAUGUAAAAGGUCUGAAGCUAAGAGCCCCUCCAGCUCCUUUUUUGUCCCUUCCAGCAGUCCCUGCUUGUUCACCCAGUAUGCUUUAGGUAUGCGUAUUGGGUGCGCAGGGCAGCUGAUACUCGAGGACGUGUUGCUAAACGUGUGUGUCUGAAUGAGCAACAGGACACACACAUUGCAACGGCGUCCGACACGUACAUUGCAAACACACAGGAGGGCGGAGCUGUAGGAGGCGAGCGACUUGUGAUCUCCAGUUUUCAAGCUGAGACC